AACUCUUCUGAAGUUGACCUCGAAUCAGGUAGGAAUACCCGCUGAACUUAAGCAUAUCAAUAAGCGGAGGAAAAGAAACCAACAGGGAUUGCCCCAGUAACGGCGAGUGAAGCGGCAACAGCUCAAAUUUGAAAUCUGGCUCUCGGGCCCGAGUUGUAAUUUGUAGAGGAUGCUUUUGGUGAGGUGCCUUCCGAGUUCCCUGGAACGGGACGCCAUAGAGGGUGAGAGCCCCGUCUGGUUGGACGCCGAACCUCUGUAAAGCUCCUUCGACGAGUCGAGUAGUUUGGGAAUGCUGCUCUAAAUGGGAGGUAUAUGUCUUCUAAAGCUAAAUACCGGCCAGAGACCGAUAGCGCACAAGUAGAGUGAUCGAAAGAUGAAAAGAACUUUGAAAAGAGAGUUAAACAGUACGUGAAAUUGUUGAAAGGGAAGCGCUUGUGACCAGACUUGGGCUUGGUUGAUCAUCCGGGGUUCUCCCCGGUGCACUCUUCCGGCCUAGGCCAGCAUCAGUUCGCCCUGGGGGAUAAAGGCUUCGGGAACGUGGCUCUCUCCGGGGAGUGUUAUAGCCCGCUGCGUAAUACCCUGUGGCGGACUGAGGUUCG
rnacentral:rRNA from 1 species